AUUGAACGCUGGCGGCAGGCCUAACACAUGCAAGUCGAGCGGAUGAAGGGAGCUUGCUCCUGGAUUCAGCGGCGGACGGGUGAGUAAUGCCUAGGAAUCUGCCUGGUAGUGGGGGAUAACGUCCGGAAACGGGCGCUAAUACCGCAUACGUCCUGAGGGAGAAAGUGGGGGAUCUUCGGACCUCACGCUAUCAGAUGAGCCUAGGUCGGAUUAGCUAGUUGGUGGGGUAAAGGCCUACCAAGGCGACGAUCCGUAACUGGUCUGAGAGGAUGAUCAGUCACACUGGAACUGAGACACGGUCCAGACUCCUACGGGAGGCAGCAGUGGGGAAUAUUGGGCAAUGGGCGAAAGCCUGAUCCAGCCAUGCCGCGUGUGUGAAGAAGGUCUUCGGAUUGUAAAGCACUUUAAGUUGGGAGGAAGGGCAGUAAGUUAAUACCUUGCUGUUUUGACGGUACCAACAGAAUAAGCACCGGCUAACUUCGUG
rnacentral:rRNA from 1 species